UGAAGGGCAAAGACUGGACAUGGUAGCAUCAUGCUAAUGCUGCCAGCUCCAAGGAAUGGCUAUUGUGAUCUCACACUGAGGCUGCCUCUCCAAAACCAGCCAAAAAUGUUAGGGAAUCAUGGAAUAGUUUGGGCUCAGUUUGAUGAGAAAAGAUAAUCCUAACUCAAAUGCAACUGCUGUGUCUUUGGGAUGCCAGACAAUGACUGCCUCUGCCCACUGUUACUGCCAGCUUAAGGGACACGGGUGGCACUGUGGUCUGAACCACUGAGCCUCUUGGGCUUGCUGAUCAGAAGGUCGGCAGUUCGAAUCCCCGCGAUGGGGUGAGCUCCUCUGGCUCUGUCUCAGCUCCUGCCAGCCUAGCAGUUUGAAAGCACGCCAGCGCAAGUAGAUAAGUAGGUACCGCUGCAGCAGGAAGGUAAAUGGCAUUUCCGUGUGCUCUGGUUUCCGUCACGGUGUCCCGCUGUGCCAGAAGCAAUUUAGUCAUGCUAGCCACAUGACUCAGAAAGCUGUUUGUGGACAAACGUCCUCUUCCAAUACUUGCAUCAAAACACAUCUGUCCUUCAAAAUCUGAACUGCUCCAAAUUUUAUGAUGCAUUCUCCUCCUACAAAGAUGGCAUACAUUAGAAGGGAGUGUGCACAAAUAUGUCUAUGAGCAACAAUAAUUUUUGACAAUGUGUUUUAUUAGGGGAAAUUGCUAGCAAAAAUGCAUUAAUUAGUGUGCAUGAAAACCCAGACUUUUUUUUUUUUUGCAGACUUUUAAAAAAUAUGCAAACUGAUGUGGAAAUCGCUUUAACUGAACUGAAGACGGGGAAAACAAGAGACUGAGAGAGCUAUCAAAACUGACAUUCUUCGACCCCUAUCAGGAGUGAGAUAUAAAUGUCAGAAUGAAGAUUUUUACUGGAGACAACCACCAGGAAAUAAGGACAGCUGGUGUGUAAUCAUGGAGUCUGGUUCUGCUUCUUAAGUUCACUAUCUGAAGAGCCUCCGUUCUCUCUCAUUAUUGCAAAUGAGAAAUGUGCAGCAUGAUCCUCUGUAAAUUUCACAGAGUUCACCUGGACUUACUCUCAAAGCUGUAAGAGCCAGAGAUAUCAUGUUGGAGCUUCACGUUUGCAGUCCAAGGUAAUGUUCUUUUUGUAAAAGAAGUUGUGGGGAUUCCCAAUUUUGACUGGGACUAGCUCCCAGGCUGGAGAAAGGAUUAGAUCUCCCUCUCUGCAGGUCUAAUCCUUUCUCCAGCUGGUGCCCUGAAGUCUUUAUGAAGACGUCAAUGACAUCAGGAGAUAGAUGCAUGAAAAAGAGGCAUGAGGAACCAUCUGUAACUGAUAGUGGAACUGUCCCCCUAAGUUUCGCAGCCACUAUUGUCUUGACUUCACAGAUUCCUUAAAUUCUUUGGGAACUCUACCUGAACUUUUGUCUGUUGUUGUCAGGAAUACCUGGAGUAUUAUGAGGGACUUUCUAACAGCUUUAUUGUGCUCUUCAGUUGGGAAUAAACAUUUUCCAAUAUUUUCUCAAUGUAUGUUCUUCUUCUCUUAUGCUAUAUGUUAGGUGGAUG